UUUUGAUGAUGAAAGAGUUUUUGCCAUUUUAGUGAAUGUUUUGGACUCUGUGCUUGUGGGUUUUGUUAGAUCUGCAAGAGGAAAAUCAAUAAAAGAAGAUAUUUGCUAUAAUUAUGUUGAGUUUUCUUACUUUAAGCCCUUUUCUCCUUUGACAUAUUUGAUUUUUUUGGGGUUUUAUUUUUCACUGAUUUUGAUCAGAUCUUAUGUUUUGAUAGUUCAUUUAUGUGCUGAUCUAUCUAAUUUUCAAGUUUUAUUUUUCACUUCUUUAAAAUUCUUUUCUUGUUUUAGUUGUUAACUUACAAAAGAGUUGAUUUUGAAUCUGAUCUUGUCUAAUGGCCUUCUUGACCUAAGAUCCCCUUUUUCAAGAAUAGGUGGUUUGAGAAUAUGUUGUCUUUGAAAGAAUGUUAUUGUUACUGAUUUUCAUUCAACCAGCUUGAUGAUUCAUCUAGAGAGAAUUGGUUAUGUUUUGUCUAAGGAUUUCAACUUUUAGGGUUUUCAAUUAUACUUUCUUCUUCUUCUUCCUCUUUUUUUUCCCCCUUUUCCUUUUAUGAAGAAAAAUAUCAUUUUCUCUCUUUAUUAUGUUUUGUCUAAGGAUUUCAACUUUUAGGGUUUUCAAUUAUACUUUCUUCUUCUUCUUCUUCUUUUUUUUUUUUUUCCUUUUCCUUUUCUGAAGAAAAAUAUCAUUUUCUCUCUUUAUUUCCUGUUUAAUGCUUUUCUUCCUUACACUUCC
rnacentral:lncRNA from 1 species